CUUACGCGAAGAAUUUCGAUUAAAUUGAAUUUUCUUGUCCAUCUCUCUUUCUCACUUUUCCUAUACUUUAUUUAAAACAAUGAUGUAUCGUUUCAAAUUGUUUAACUUAUGAACCUUUUUUAUUUAUUUUUUCUCCUCCACGAAAAAAGGAAGAGCGGAUCGAGCCGAUAGAAAGGAAAUAUUUUCUUUCGACGUCGAAGAAAGAUCAACGGGGAUUAAAUCGUAUCGAUCGAUUGUUCGCGAAGGUAUUUCUUAAAAAAAGAAAAAAAAAAAAAAGCGAACAUCCCUAUUAAAUCGUCCGACUCACAAGUGUGUUCUCUUUUUUUUUAAAAAAAUUGUCUUUCUCGAAGUAACCGAAGUAACAGUAGUUUUCCUCUCUUUUUAUACUUUCUUUUUACUUUCCUUCGUUGACUGCGAAAAAAAGAACAAAAAAAAAAAGAAGAUAGAUCGACGAAUUAGGUAAAUAAUAAUCGAUUAUUCGCAAAGAGAAACGUCGCUGUUAAUCGCGUGACGAAGGUGCGACUGACAGUAACGUGUACCAAUAUAGUAAUAGUAAUACUACUUCUCAUCCUCCUCCUCUUCAUUUUCCUCCUCCUUGUAUCUAUAAUGUGGCAAAGGUUACCAUACAUAUCUACUUGCUUGCUAGUGUUAGAGAGUAGUAGGUUUCGUGUCAGGCAGCAUGCGCACCAGUUUAGUAGUAGUCGUACGCGAUGAACACGACGGGAGGAGGAACGCUUUUACGAGUAGAUAGAAACGGGUCAGAUAUAUAUCCACGGUAGGUGGAAAGUCGAGGGAGAUCGCUCGUAAUUAUCCGUAGGGAGUUUCCUUCGGACACGCACGGAAUAUCGUGCGCAAGUUCCUCGCGAGCUUCCUUGCAUUACAUUCGAACUCGGACACCCAAACCGUGGAAGCAAGAUUCAAAGGAGAGGAAAGGGGUAUCCAGAAGAGUCGCAUUGUGUAGUCGAGUUCCAUUGUGUAUGCUACUGGUAAACGGACUUCAUACAUUUUCCGCUAACGGAGAAAAACGGAGCUACAUAGCUACGAGAACGUAAUUGCGGGAUCCGCGUGUGCGAUCGCGAUAACGUUGCUCCGUCUCGAUUACCAUUGAGAUUUCGACGUAUUCGUUUGGAUUUAAAUUGUUCUCUAUAUCUAUCGAAUGACUACAGAUAUCGUCGUUGACUCUCGAAUACUUUUAGUCAAAGGACGAAGAAAGAGCAGAAGAAAAAGAAUGAGAAUAAAAAAAAGAAGGAGAGAGUUGAAAGGAUAAAGCAAAAUAAUAAAAGAUACUUUGUCGACAUAAAUAGAAAUCAAUAUUAUCGUCAAAUUGAAGAAAGUUAUCACUUAUAAAUCCGAUAUAAUCACACCGUAUGCACAAUUCGGAAAUCCAUGGAUUGCGUUGCUCGUGGGAGAGGAAAUCGUGAUGGUGAUGGUAAUGGCGAUGGUGGUGUUGCCGCUGGUGGUGAUGUUGGUGGUGGCGAUGAUGGUAGUGGAAGAAGAGGAAGGGUAAGAGGAGAGAAGAGGAGAAUACGCGUGAACAUCGAUCGCUGAUCGUCCUCUCGGUGCCAGACACCGGAAGGUCCUAUCGCGGAGAGCGAACCGAACGAUUCCCAUCGUCGUCCUUGAUAGGCGUUCGUGAAUUACUCGACCGUUCGACGGGAUAUCGUGCCACUGAUAUUGGAUCGCCGUUUUUCCCUCUUCCUCUUCCUCUUCCUCUUCCUCUUCCUCCACUUCCUCUUGCGUCUCUCGACGAAUCGCGUCGUCGCGAAUUUAUCCGCGAAAAGUGGAAGCUCGUUUCGACUCUCGACAGUUGGACGCUUUUUUUAUUAGCGAAUUUCUUCUCUCUCUUUCUCUCUCGUCUAUCUAUCUAUCUAUCUAUCUAUCUAUCUAUCUAUCUAUCUAUCUAUCUAUCUAUCUAUCUAUCUAUGUAUGUAUGUAUGUAUUUAUUUAUCUAUCUGUCUAUGUAUCUUUCCCUAUCUCGCCAUUGUCCCAUCCUUCUUAUCGUUACCGAUAAUUCCGACGUUUCCCAGCGAAAUAUAUAUUUCUUUCUUUUUAUUUUUUCUCCACGUAUCACUCUUCUUCGUUUUAAAAAUACAAAAGAACGUCAGGCCUCUUAGUAGUACCACUUAAAUUCGUAUCGACGAUUUAUCCGACGGUCCUUCUCUUAUAAUUGUCUCUCGGUCCUUUUCGAUAAGUUUGUUGGAAAGAUAAAAGGAAGAAGAAGGAAUGAAGAAAUGAGAGAAAUAGAGAAACAGAGAAAUAGAGAAAUAGAGAUAGAAAGAUAGGAAGAUAGAAAGAAAUGAAGAAACUCCGUACGGUUACUAGCCAAUCCUUUUCUUCGAUAGCACUGGAAAAAGGCAAUGUCUGGUUAAACACGAAGAGCUCAUGGGCGCUGUAUUAGCUCACGAUAUAUAUAGUAGCCUUAAGGAAGGACUUUCUGUAUCGAAAGGGACGAUCACCACGUGGGAGUUAAAAGGAAGAAGGAAAAAGGAAAGUGGAUCCAAGUAGUACUCCCUUACUCCUUGUAAACGAAGAAAGAAACUCUUUCUCUCUCUCUCUCUCUAUCUAUCUAUCUAUCUAUCUAUCUAUCUAUCUAUCUAUCUAUGUCUGUCUAUCUCGAACAACAUUACUGUUAUACACUUUUGUUUAUACCUUCUUGCAAGGUUUAACCUAUUUAACUUAUCUUUUUCUUCUUCUUUUUCUUUUUAUCAUUGUUCUUCUCUUUCUUUCUUUCUUUCUUUUUCUUUUUUAUCUUUUCUAUACUUUCAAUCUCGAACACGAUAUGGAUCCAUGUUGCGGAGAAAGUGGUGUUGCACCGAACCCUCGCUAAAGUUUAAUGCACCUUUUCUUCUCUCUCUCUAUCUCUCUUUCUUUCUUGUCUUCUUUAUCUCCUGUUCUCUCUCUCUCUCUCUCUUUCUUAAACGUUUACUCACCAACCAACCAACGAAAACGCCAGCCUGGCGCCACAGGAACUUCUCUUUUCUCUGUCGAAUCCUUUUUCAUUUAUAUAUAUAUAUAUAUAUAUAUAUAUCUUUCUUACAUAUUUCCUUCUACUUUCGAUCGUUUCUCUCUCUCUCUCUCUCUCUUUCUCUUUCUAUCUCUCUCCUUUGCUUUCUUCGAUCUAGGUUUGUCUGUCUCAGCACAAAUGUCUCUCUCUCUCUCUUUUUCUAUAUCGAUCGUUGCUCUUUCCAUGCUUUUUCUUCCUUUUCUUGGUUUCUUACAGGCAUCGAGCUUUGUCUCUUUAUCACCGAUCUGUCUCGAAGCAAAACUCCCGUUCCUCAUUUUUCUCUACUCAUUUUUCUCUUACAUUUUUCACCUCCACUUCUUCCUUCUCUCUCCUUCCCCCUCUCACGUUCUCUUUCUUACAUUAGCCGCUUUCAUUUUACGACGUAGCAAUCUUACGAACGAUCUGUUCUAUAUGUACGAAACAUUGAUCUCUCUCUCUCUCUCUCUCUCUCUCUCUUUCUUGGAUAUUUCUUCAUCCCUAUUCAAAGUUUCAUCUUCGUGUUACUAACCUUUUGCAGCAUCCCUCGAUACGACUCGUUUACUCUGGAGUCCUACGUUUGAUCUUUUACCCUCUUCUUACGAAUAGAUAAUCAAUGUCUUUUUU